AUCCCUUAUUGGCCUUUUAGCCAAAAUCAAGUGUAGCAUCCAUUCUUGUCAAUUUUAUGUCAGACACAUCUUCAGUUUCAGGACUUGAUGUUAAAUGGGUGUGGGGACGUAAU
ensembl:snRNA U2 U2 spliceosomal RNA